ensembl:lncRNA
CUUCCGGCUCCUGAUGCCCGGAGGAAGGGGCCUGGAGCCUGCGGCGAGCCGCCCGCCCCCCGGAAACGGAAACGACCCCAGGAGCAGCGGGACUCCGGCGGGCGGACCACGCAGCCGUCGGGCUUCCCGGCUUCGUGAGCGCCUUCACUCUGGAUAAAAAGAUUUCCUCCAGGGGAGUCUUCCAAAGCGGUGAUGCAACCCACCCAGUGGGCAGAACUCGGAGCAGAACUCCAGAGUGGUGGAGGUGGUCCUCAAGCUCAGCCAGGCACUCGGUCCGAACCCUGAGAUUCUCCAUGAACCAGAGCCAGAGGCCGCUUUCCAGAAGCCAUGGUGGGAGUGAACUCUGGGUAAGAAGAUUUAUUCAGAUUCAGAGAGAAGCACUCUCCACAGAGUGUGGGCCAUCGCAGAGGGUGGCAGUGGCAGAGUCUGCCUGCAAUGCCGGAGACUCCAGUUCCAUCUCAGGGUUGGGAAGAUCCCUGGAGACGGAAAUGGCAACCCACUCCAGUCAUUCUUGCCUGAAAGCUCAUGGAGAGGAGACUGGCAGGCUACAGUCCAUGGGGUCGCAAAGAGAGGGACACGACUGAGAACAUACAUGUUAAUAAAACCUGUAUUUAUUUUUCUCUUUUGUAUUUCAUUAUAGAGAGUUUCAUUAUAACCAAGAACUCAAAAGCAAAGACAGAAAAUUACAUGUGUACGGCCCCCCCCCCCCCACCCACGGCAAAUACAAUUUUAC